AAGGGCGUUUGGUGGAUGCCUAGGCUCUGAGAGAGGAUGAAGGACGUGAAUAGCAACGAAAAGUUACGGUGAUUUGCUAAAAAGAAAUAGAUCCGUAAAUGUCCUAAUGGGGUAACCUGCUAAUAUUUAACAUUAGCAUCUUUUAAAAGAGCAUAAACCUGGGGAACUGAAACAUCUUAGUACCUGGAGGAAAAGAAAACAAUAGUGAUUCCGAAAGUAGUGGUGAGCGAAAUUGGAAAAGCCUAAACCAUUUACAUAUAUGUGAAUGGGGUUGUAGGACUAAAAUCUGGUAGACUAUUCUAUAGUAGAAUAAUUUGGAAAAAUUAACCCAAGAAGGUGAAAGUCCUGUCUACGAAAUAGGAAUAGAUAUCUAUUAGUAUCCUAAGUAAGAUGGAACACGUGAAAUUCUGUCUGAAUCAGCCAGGACCAUCUGGCAAGGCUAAAUACUUCUCAGAGACCGAUAGUGAACAAGUACCGUGAGGGAAAGGUGAAAAGAACUUCUAAAAGAAGAGUGAAAUAGAUCCUGAAACCAUUCGCCUACAAGCAGACGGAGCUUUUUAUUAAAAAGUAACGUCGUGCCUUUUGCAUAAUGAACCUACGAGUUAAUUGUACUGGCAAGGUUAAAUAAUGUUAAUUAUGAAGCCGUAGCGAAAGCAAGUAUUAAAUGUGCGUAUAGUCAGUAUUAUUAGACGCGAAACCGGGUGAUCUACUUAUGGGCAGGUUGAAGCUAUGGUAAAACAUAGUGGAGGACCGAACUGGUAAACGUUGAAAAGUUUUCGGAUGACCUGUGAGUAGGAGUGAAAGGCUAAUCAAACUCGGAGAUAGCUCGUACUCCCCGAAAUGCAUUUAAGUGCAGCAUUGUGUAAAGUAAAGUAUUACAGAGGUAGAGCUACUGAUUAGAUGAGGGGACUAUAUAGUCUACUAAUUCUAGACAAACUCCGAAUGCUGUAAUAUAUUUCACAGUAGUGAGGGCCUGGGUGCUAAGAUCAAGGUCCGAGAGGGAAACAACCCAGACCAACAGCUAAGGCCCCAAAGUAUAUACUAAGUUGAAGAAACGUAGUUCAGUAACGUAGAUAUCUAGGAUGUUAGCUUGGAAGCAGCUAUUCAUUUAAAGAGUGCGUAACAGCUCACUAGUUUAGUAACUGAGCAUGGAUAAUAAUCGGGCAUAAGUAUAUCGCCGAAGCUAUGGGAUCUCAAGAUCGGUAGGGGAGCAUUGUAAUUGCAGUGAAGCUCGAUUGUAAAAGAGGGUGGAGUAAUUACAAAAGAAAAUGUAGGUAUGAGUAACGAUAAUGCAGGCGAGAAACCUGCACACCGAAAAACUAAGGUUUCCUCAGCAAUGUUAAUCAACUGAGGGUUAAUCGGACCUAAGGCAAAACCGAAAGGUGUAGUCGAUGGAAAAUCGUUUAAUAUUACGAUGUAGUUUCCUAUUUUUUCAAAGGAGUGAAAAAGCAGUGAAACUGUCACGUGUAAACGGAAAUACACGUUAAAUUAUUUAGGCAUUAUAUAUAUAGGAAAAUCCGUAUAUAUUGCUGAAAUAAAAUAGUACCACCAAGUGGAUAGAACAGAUAAAAGCUUUCAAGAAAAACUUCUAGAAAUUAAAUAGGAGAUUUCCGUACCAAAACCAACACAGGUAGUUAGGGAGAAUAUCCUAAGGUGCUCGAGUGAUUCACGGCUAAGGAACUAGGCAAAAUUGACCUGUAACUUCGGGAGAAAGGUUGCCUUCUUUUUUUGAAGGUCGCAGUGAAAAGGUCCAGGCGACUGUUUACCAAAAACACAGGGCUCUGCAAAAUUGCAAAAUGAAGUAUAGGGUCUGACACCUGCCCGGUGCUGGAAGGUUAAAGAAGAAGGUUAGCAAUAAUUAAUUAUUGCAAAGCUUUCAACCGAAGCCCCAGUAAACGGCGGCCGUAACUAUAACGGUCCUAAGGUAGCGAAAUUCCUUGUCGGGUAAGUUCCGACCUGCACGAAUGGUGUAACGAUCUGGACACUGUCUCUGCCGUGAGCUCGGUGAAAUUGAAGUAUCGGUGAAGAUGCCGAUUACUCGCAAUGGGACGAAAAGACCCUGUGAACCUUUACUACAACUUCGUAUUGAUUUUGAGUAAAUAAUGUGUAGGAUAGGUGGGAGACUUUGAAGCCUUCUCGCUAGAGAAUGUGGAGUCGACCUUGAAAUACCACCCUUUAUUUAAUUGAAAUCUAACUCUUUUAAAAAAAGAAGAGAACACUGCGUGGCGGGUAGUUUGACUGGGGUGGUCGCCUCCUAAAAGGUAACGGAGGCUUCCAAAGGUACCCUCAACACGUUUGGUAAUCGUGAGUAGAGUGCAAUGGCAUAAGGGUGCUUGACUGUGAGACUGACCAGUCGAUCAGAUACGAAAGUAGGGCAUAGUGAUCCGGUGGUGCUGUAUGGAAAGGCCAUCGCUCAAAGGAUAAAAGGUACUCCAGGGAUAACAGGCUAGUCUUCCCCAAGAGCUCACAUCGACGGGAAGGUUCGGCACCUCGAUGUCGGCUCGUCACAUCCUGGGGCUGAAGAAGGUCCCAAGGGUUGGGCUGUUCGCCCAUUAAAGUGGCACGCGAGCUGGGUUCAGAACGUCGUGAGACAGUUCGGUCUCUAUCUAUUGCGAGCGUUAGAAGCUUGAAUGGAUCUAACUCUAGUACGAGAGGACCGAGUUGGACGAACCUAUGGUAUAUCAGUUGUAUCGCCAGGUGCAAAGCUGAGUAGCUAAGUUCGUUUAAGAUAAGCACUGAAAGCAUAUAAGUGCGAAACUAACCAUAAGAUUAGGCUUCUGUUAAGGGUCGUUGAAGAUUACAACGUUGAUAGGCUAUAAGUGUAAAGAUAGUAAUAUCAAAGCUGAGUAGUACUAAUUACCCAUAAGCUUAGA
rnacentral:rRNA from 1 species